rnacentral:rRNA from 1 species
AGUGAACGCUGGCGGUAGGCCUAACACAUGCAAGUCGAACGGCAGCACAGUAAGAGCUUGCUCUUACGGGUGGCGAGUGGCGGACGGGUGAGGAAUACAUCGGAAUCUACUUUUUCGUGGGGGAUAACGUAGGGAAACUUACGCUAAUACCGCAUACGACCUACGGGUGAAAGCAGGGGAUCUUCGGACCUUGCGCGAUUGAAUGAGCCGAUGUCGGAUUAGCUAGUUGGCGGGGUAAAGGCCCACCAAGGCGACGAUCCGUAGCUGGUCUGAGAGGAUGAUCAGCCACACUGGAACUGAGACACGGUCCAGACUCCUACGGGAGACAGCAGUGGGGAAUAUUGGACAAUGGGCGCAAGCCUGAUCCAGCCAUACCGCGUGGGUGAAGAAGGCCUUCGGGUUGUAAAGCCCUUUUGUUGGGAAAGAAAAGCAGCAGGUUAAUACCCCGCUGUUCUGACGGUACCCAAAGAACAAGCACCGGCUAACUUCGUG